UACGUAGGGGGCUAGCGUUGUCCGGAUUUAUUGGGCGUAAAGAGCGUGUAGGCGGCUAGAUAGGUCCGUUGUGAAAACUCGAGGCUCAACCUCGAGACGUCGAUGGAAACCAUCUGGCUAGAGUCCGGAAGAGGAGAGUGGAAUUCCUGGUGUAGCGGUGAAAUGCGCAGAUAUCAGGAGGAACACCAAUUGCGAAGGCAGCUCGCUGGGACGUUACUGACGCUGAGACGCGAAAGCGUGGGGAGCAAACAGG
rnacentral:rRNA from 1 species